rnacentral:rRNA from 1 species
ACAAUGGAGAGUUUGAUCCUGGCUCAGGAUGAACGCUAGCUACAGGCUUAACACAUGCAAGUCGAGGGGAAACGACAUCGAAAGCUUGCUUUUGAUGGGCGUCGACCGGCGCACGGGUGAGUAACGCGUAUCCAACCUGCCCAUCACUUGGGGAUAACCUUGCGAAAGUAAGACUAAUACCCAAUGAUAUCUCAAGAAGACAUCUGAAUGAGAUUAAAGAUUUAUCGGUGAUGGAUGGGGAUGCGUCUGAUUAGCUUGUUGGCGGGGUAACGGCCCACCAAGGCGACGAUCAGUAGGGGUUCUGAGAGGAAGGUCCCCCACAUUGGAACUGAGACACGGUCCAGACUCCUACGGGAGGCAGCAGUGAGGAAUAUUGGUCAAUGGGCGAGAGCCUGAACCAGCCAAGUAGCGUGCAGGAUGACGGCCCUAUGGGUUGUAAACUGCUUUUAUAAGGGAAUAAAGUGAGUCUCGUGAGACUU